CGACCUCGGGUUGACUCGGGAGAGGCUAUAAAGGGAACUGCUGGAGGGGCAGCUAGGUGUUUUGCAUAUGGACCUUGGAGACGCUACUCCUGAUCGAAAGAUUAUUUGAAAAUGGGCAGUCCCCGACCUUGUGAGAGAUUGAGCUGUGCUGUGCCCAGGUGGCGCUGUGUGCAAACCAGAUUAGUGAAAGAAGCAGGGUGCUAGUCCUGAAAACCUUCAACUGCCAUUCUGUGAAAAUGCCUAGUUUUCAAAAUAUUGUGCUCGUGCUGGAACAGUGGCUCUCGGUGUAACGGAGCUGUUACCUGGAGAUGUUGAGAUGGAAAGGAAAAUUCCAACAAAACACGUGAGCGAAUUUUUGCUGGGAAAUUACUUGGCUGGAAUCUGACAAUCUUACCCAGCAUCCUGGAGGUUGAUGAAUAAUAAUGGAGCUAUAAAUGUCACUGACAAGCAACCUUGCUUUAAAUGAGGGGUCGCUGUCUGCCCAUGGAAAGAGGCCAGUUUGCAGUAACCUUCCUGAGGUAUUACCCAUUUCUGGCUAAUUCCNCG